ACUUGUGAUGAAAUGAAUUAAAACGGAUUUAUGGGUCCUAUGACUUGCAUUUCCGAGAGCGCAAAUAUCAAGUGGAUUACUCCGUUGCCUUCCUUCUGAUAUUCUUU
rnacentral:snoRNA from 1 species